rnacentral:rRNA from 1 species
UAGGGAAUCUUCGGCAAUGGACGAAAGUCUGACCGAGCAACGCCGCGCGAGUGAAGAAGGUUUUCGGAUCGUAAAACUCUGUUGUUAGAGAAGAACAAGGACGUUAGUAACUGAACGUCCCCUGACGGUAUCUAACCAGAAAGCCACGGCUAACUACGUGCCAGCAGCCGCGGUAAUACGUAGGUGGCAAGCGUUGUCCGGAUUUAUUGGGCGUAAAGCGAGCGCAGGCGGUUUCUUAAGUCUGAUGUGAAAGCCCCCGGCUCAACCGGGGAGGGUCAUUGGAAACUGGGAGACUUGAGUGCAGAAGAGGAGAGUGGAAUUCCAUGUGUAGCGGUGAAAUGCGUAGAUAUAUGGAGGAACACCAGUGGCGAAGGCGGCUCUCUGGUCUGUAACUGACGCUGAGGCUCGAAAGCGUGGGGAGCAAACAGG